rnacentral:rRNA from 1 species
CGAGAAGACCCUGUGGAGCUUCAGACACCCGAGCAUAUCAUGUUAAACACCCUAAGAUAAAAGGUUAAACUUUGUGAACAAAUGCUGCCGUGUCUUCGGUUGGGGCGACCUAGG